UCCGACUGCAAAUAGGAUAAAUGAUAUUGAUUCAGAGGCACUGCGGAUCCUCGACAUCUGUUACGAACGUGCUAAAUCGAUUCUUGAGCAAAACCGAGGACUUAUGGAUGCCGUUGUCGAGAAUCUUAUUGAGAAGAAGAGUUUAACCAAACAAGAAUUCUUUAACUUGGUUGAGUUACAUGGAUCUAUUCAAGCCAUGCCACCUAGUAUACUUGAUAUCAGGUCAGCAAAACUACUACAGCUGCAAAAUAUUAUUGCUGACGUGGAAGCAUCUCACCGUUGAAGUGUAUCCGCAUGCUUCUAGAAGCUUUCAGGCACGAAGAAAAUUUUGCUAUAUUAUGGUCGUAAAAGAUAGAGACGUGCUUCUUAUUGGUUGAUUCGAAUUCGCCGGAAAGACGUGUGUUCGGGUACAUAGAAGGUUUCUGAGUUUAUAUUUUUUGUUGUAUAUUAUAUUAGUCUAGUCUUGACAGAAAAAUGCUAAGCAUACUUCAUUGUAUGAUUAAAUAUUUCAUUUUUGUGAAAUUCGGACUUGAUUUGUGGCUUCUU